rnacentral:rRNA from 1 species
UCUGAAUCUGCGUACGGCUCCGCAAACCAGUUGUAAGCAAUAGCAAGGAUGCUCGUCGAACCCGGGGCUCGCGCCCCGGCAAGUAGGCGGGCGACAAGGAUACCCCUGGUAAUCCUGAGGCUAAUACUUGAGCGUACGACCUUGGCAGCCCUCGCGGCAGCCGGGGACCGUGCGAUCAUUCAAAGCGGUGGGAAACCAUCCGGGAAAGGACGCACAGUCAAACCGCGGCAAAAAAUGGUUCGGCGGAAUCCCUCGGCCUUCGCGGUCGGAGGAGAAGCCGUUUCUCGCGGGUCUUGCACUGCGCUUCUGACCUAUCAACUGUAUAGCAGUGUAAGGGACAUGCUAUGGU